rnacentral:sRNA from 1 species
GCGAAACUGGGCGGCUGAGCGUGGAGGUGGGAGAAUCACUUGAGCUCAGAAGGUUGAGGUUGCUGUGAGCUGUGAUUACACCACUCUACUCUAGCCUGGGCAACAGAGUGAGACCCUGUCUCAAAAAGGAAAACAAAAAAGAUUCUACUGAGGGGGAGAGGGUACUGAGCUUGGGCCCCUCAUAGUAACCUGGGUGGAAGGUUUUGAGAUCUUUGAUUAGGGUUCUAACCUGGGCUUGCGUAUCCUGAAAUUGCAUGCAGGUGUUCUGAGGAGAGUGGCUCUAUAGCUUCUGUUAACUUCAUUAGUGGCAACAGAGUAUGUAGGGGUCAGGCUCUUGCUCCCUGGGCAAGUUAUGUGACUUUGUCAAACUUGAGUUUCCUCAUCAGUAAAAUGGGGAUAAGGACAGUCCUUCAUCUCUCAGAGGGCUGCUUGAAAAUGCUUGUCGUGUUUAGCACAAUUCCUUCAUGCAGAUUACGUAAUCAGGAUGUGUGAUUUUCCAAGCAGUUCAUCAAUCCUGAAAACUUACGAAGCGGGUAUGGGAAGAGGGGAGUUGGAAG